CUAGGCCCCUCCCCUGUCCCUCAGCUCCUCAACCAUCACCUGGCAGCAGCUGUUUGGACACUGAAACUUUGACCUCUCCCAGGUGGGCACAGAACUCCCAGGCUCAGGACUCACCGUGGACUCCAGGGCUCCGCAGGCAUUCAGGGGAAAGGGGUGGGGAUGCAGGAAGGAGGCUCAGCCCAGAGGGCGGGGCCAAGAUCCUGAUUGGAGGAAAUCAAGGUGAGCGCGCUGCUACAAACUGGGCCCCUAUUUCUAGUUGGUGGCCAAACAUUUUGCCUGGGGCUGGGCCUGGGGCUGGGCCCGGGGCUGGGCCCGGGGCUGGGCCUGGGGCUUUGCCCGGGGCUGGGUCUAGGGCUGGGUCCAGGGCUGGGCCGCGGACUGGGCCUCGGACUGGGCCUCGGACUGGGCCUCGGACUUGGCCUCGGAUUGGGCCGAGGAUUGGGCAGAGGCACGGGCCUACUGAUGGGCCUCCUGCUCGUGCCAGGUCGCCGCCGAGGUCUGCUUUGGCGGUUUCCACAUUCACGCAUCAGCCCGUUCACUGCGUCCGGGAGAAAACAGCUGGCGAGGCUCGGUUCCCCCCCACUCUCCGCCGGGAAGAGCAUGGCUUCGGGCGGCCCUGCGCAGAGAACGCAGAUGUGGACCCUCGGAAAGCUCCCAGAGGUGGGAAUAUAGCUGUGUGCCACCACAUCCAGCUUGAGACAAUAGCUAGAAAAGUUUAAGGAAAAAAAAAGACAAAUGGCUCCAGAAGCUGGUGGUGUGCUGCCAGGUCCUGCACUGUCCAAUGGCUGCUGCCUUCCCUGUCACCCAGGAGCAUUCCCAGGAAAAGGAGCCCAAGGGUAGCCUGGUACUGACUGGAUUCCAUGAAACCCCCAACGUGGAUGCCUCCUCUGCAGCCUCUCCAGCCCUGGUGACAGCAGAGCACUGCGGAGACUGUGGGCCAGGGCAGGACUCCCACGGAGACAGUCAUCACCCUUGUGCAUGGUGACCCCUCUGCUGUGGCAGAAGCCCCUCUCUGCACGUGACCCUGGUGAUGAAGCCUUCCAGAGCAAACAUAAGGAUAGUCAGUAGUUUCCUCCUGAAAAGCAGGGUGAUGGGUAAGAUGGAGUGUGAACUUGAUCAGCUUGGGAGUGUCUCAGGGGAUUAGUAAAACUCACUCUGGGUGGGCCAUGCAGUGUGAACUUGGGUCUAUAUCUGGUCCCUCCUCCACUCACUGUGGCACUGAUCCCUGCUCUGCUUCGCACUGCCAUGAACUGAGUUGCUUUCUUAUGCCACAUAGUUCUGACAUGAUGCUCCUGCCUUGAAGCAGCCAACCAGGAACUGAAUCCCAUGAAACCAUGAGUCAAGCAAGCCUCUCCUUUAACUCAUGGGUGUCAAAUAUUGUAUCCCAGCAAUGGGAAAGCUGACUCACAAAUGCGUGCAUGGACACAUUUAUAUUUCCCUUCUUUACAUAAAGUGGUGCUGCUAUUAGCAUUCUCAUUUUCUCCUCUGGUCCCGCUCCUGAAAGAAUUAUUUUCCAUUCUAUUCUACAUUACAGUCUUUCUACAGCCUUAACCUGACUUGAUUGAAUUUUGCUGGGAGAUGGACUUUGUACAGUUCCUGAGGGCUGCUGUCAUCUGAGACCCAUUUCAGGGACACCUGGGCACUGGCUACUUUUCUGGGAGUGAAGAGGUGGCCUCAUCCACUGGCUUAAAUUUUCUCUUAGGAAAAAAUUGCAGCUCAAUGCCAGCUUUCGUUUAAUUUUCAGCAAGCAAG
rnacentral:lncRNA from 1 species